CAUGCUAAUAUUCUCUGUAUCGUUCCAACUUUA
rnacentral:sRNA from 1 species